UACGGGGGGAGCAAGCGUUGUUCGGAUUUACUGGGCGUAAAGGGCGCGUAGGCGGUCGUGACAAGUCACUUGUGAAAUCUCAGGGCUUAACUCGGAACGGUCAAGUGAUACUGUCGGACUAGAGUACAGAAGGGGCAACUGGAAUUCUCGGUGUAGCGGUGAAAUGCGUAGAUAUCGAGAGGAACACCUGCGGCGAAGGCGGGUUGCUGGGCUGAUACUGACGCUGAGGCGCGAAAGCCAGGGGAGCGAACGGG
rnacentral:rRNA from 1 species